GAUAGGCGUGAGAUCAGAAGUUUGUGUUGGGGAGAAUGUGAGGUUACAUGAUCAUGAUUGUAGUAAGACUUAUGGCAGCAUGUAGGCUAGCACAAGAUCAUUUUAAAAGAUUCGCAAGUAAAAAUGAAGCAGUGAGCAUUUAGAUAUUUUCAGUCAGUAGACCGUUUCACGUAGGAGCUGGAAUAGUUAUAACAAAGCGUGGAGCUGAGGAACACAGCAGGUCAGGCAGCUUCGGAGGAACAGGAAUGCUGAAAUCUGAAACACUGCUGUUUUUACUUUUGCAGAAGUACUUCUGAAAGCGGACUUCAGUUUGUCUAUACCAGAUUGAUGCUGCUGGAUCUGGUGAGCUUUUCCAGGAAUUUCUGUUUGUGUCACUGCAGCAAGUACUCCAUUACUCUCGGGGAUAGUAAGAACUGCUGAUGCUGGAGUCUGAGAUAACAGUGUGGAGCUGGAGGAACACAGCAGGCCAGGCAGCAUCACAGGAACAGGAAAGCUGAUGUUUCGGGUCGGGACCCUUCUUCAGAAAAUCCUUUCCUAAUUGCCCAGAGGGCAGUUAAGAGUCAACCACAUUGCUGUGGGUCUGGAGCCACAUGUAGGCCAGACCAGAUGAUCAAAACCAUAAACAUCAGAUUAUCUUAGGUCUCUGACUGCAGGACGUUAAGGUUGUCUUUACUCAACAAAGAAUCAAGAAAGCGGUAAACAAUAUCCACACUAAAGGUGCUCUGGAAAGUCAAAGAUAUGUGAAUAUAGAAAUGAAUGAUGCUUCAUUUUACUAGAAACAAGGAUGUUUUAUGACGGAGAACGACAUGAAACUAAAAUUUCAUUGGACUUAACCAUUUGCUGAGCUAAAUUUAUUUUACAGACUUCUGUCAAACUUUGAAUAUCUUUGAAUUAAUAUCAACGGAGAUUUUGCCAUAUUUUUCAACUCUGCUCUGAAUUUGCUCUGUGUGGCUGCAUAAAUACAAGGGUUUAGAAAACAAUUAAAAAACUUCAAGAUAUCUCCCACUUCAAUGGCAAUAAAUUCAGCAUUUGUGAACUUUCCUUGGUAAUAAACGGUGUUUGUCAGUUUGGUAACGCCUAAACUCACAGCAUUUGUCAACCAGAGCAGGAGAAAACUUACUGAGAUAGAGAAUAAUAAAAUGAUGGACUUUCUGCGGUUCUCCAUUUCUGAGUCACUUUGAUUCCCACUUUUGGAGCUCCGGAGUCCAGUGCGGGUUCUAUUUGCUCGUACAAUACGUUGAACAGUUAACGAAUUACACAAGACAAUCAGAGUAAAAGGAAUCCAAAUGACCCAGGCACUAUAAAACCAGACAUAACCUAGACCUGCAGAAGAAGAAAAAAAUGUUGGACUUGACCGGCAGCCCCACUGCACUUUGUUAAUAAUUUUCUCAGGUUCAUAAGCAAACAAAACCGGUAUUUCCUUCAAUACGAUCACAACCAUGAUGGUUAUUACCAGUGUGAUUGCAGUGCUUCUGGUGCAAUACCUUGUUUGAAAUGUCUGGCAACAGAUGACUACAAAUCGGUCAAAUGUGAAGAAGACAAUGCACCAAACAGAUAAAUCGGGAGUGACAGCAGUCAUGUAUAUUAUGAAUCUGCAAACAGGGGUAUGGGACAGGAAUGACAAAGGAAAGUGAUAACUGAAGACGUGAUAGAAUAUUACAUUGUUGAUCAGGACCAGUAGAUCUGUUGUUGCCAUGGCCAACAUGUAAACAGUGAUACACUUGGAAAGGCCACACUUUCUUCGUGAAAGAAUCCAAAUUGUGGCCAUGUUUGCUACAAGACAGAUAAAAACAAGCAGUAAAUAAUAUAUCAAUGCCUGAUUCAA